rnacentral:rRNA from 1 species
GACGAACGCUGGCGGCGUGCUUAACACAUGCAAGUCGAACGGAAAGGCCCCUUUGGGGGUACUCGAGUGGCGCACGGGUGAGUAACACGUGAGUAACCUGCCCUUGACUUCGGGAUAACUUCAGGAAACUGGGGCUAAUACCGGAUAGGAAUCCUUGCUGCAUGGUGGGGGUUGGAAAGCUUCGGCGGUUUUGGAUGGACUCGCGGCUUAUCAGCUUGUUGGUGGGGUAGUGGCUUACCAAGGCUUUGACGGGUAGCCGGCCUGAGAGGGCGACCGGCCACAUUGGGACUGAGAGACGGCCCAGACUCCUACGGGAGGCAGCAGUGGGGAAUAUUGCACAAUGGGCGGAAGCCUGAUGCAGCAACGCAGCGUGCGGGAUGACGGCCUUCGGGUUGGAAACCGCUUUCAGCAGGGGCGAAGCUUGUGGUGACGGUACCUGCAGAAGAAGCACCGGCUAACUACGUG